CCAGACAGGAGCAAGUGGGGGUCCCCUCCUUGCCCGCGCCCUCCCCCACCCCCUUUCUCCGAGGAGCCCUUUUCUGUGGGUUUCUGUCGUACCGUUUCCUUCUGUUUUCCUGUGCAUCGUGUCCAGAGCAUCCAACUUACCAACUCAGCCUUUAAGGGACAUUCAGGGACGUCCAAUACAGUCCCAUGGCUCUGUGGCCACGACCAACGUCCGUCUCCCUGGCGUUUUUAAUCUUCCCCAAAUGAAGCCCUGAGCCCCUUCAACAGCAGCUGCCCCCCGUCCCACCUCCCCCCUGUUGGAGGUGGCACCUCCGGGGACCUCAGUAGACUCAGCCCCCUGGUUGUGGGGUGACAGGCGCGUCCCCUGUGCUGGCUGGCCUGCUGUUUUGAAGGAGCAUCUGCAGCCUCUCUUAGGGAAAAUGUUGCUCCUUCUUGUGUCCUCGGGGCUAGUGACAGUCUCGCUGAGUGUGUGUUGACAGUGAGGCUGCGUGUGUUGGUGUCACUCGUCCCCAUUUCAUAGAUGGGGACGUGCCCUGGCCUCCUGCCGCUCCUAACGUGGGCUUCCUGAGACACCAAGGUUCAGCAUCCCGGCGGCCCCUGCGGACACCUCCCUGUCCACCCCACGCUGCUCUGCAGGACCCGCCUGGUUGCCCUGUAGGACCCCCUCCAGCCCCGGGCACCCUGCACCCUCCCCGGGACGGAUGCUCAUUUCCAUACGGUGACGGCUCCUCAGGAGUCCGGGGGUGGGGGUGGCUGCCCGGCCACUGGGCGGCCCCAGGGCGCUGGACCCAGGACUCCCCCGACUCUGCCCAGCCUCCUGGCGUGAAGCUGCCCGACGGACGGCGCAGAUCCAGUUAGGAGCCAGCCGUUUGGGCUGCGUUUUGGAGACGCUGAUGCCAGCUGGGAGCUGGGGAGUGUUUCCCUCUAUAUUUAGUCUCCGCGUGCUGGGGACUGACCCAGGGCCUCCUGCCCUGCACCUCUGAGCCACACGAGGCCCUGGGAACAUAUUUUAACGAUGUCAGCACCCACAGUGUCUUCCACACAGCCCAAGACGAGCCUUUCUGCUGCCUCAUCUCAGACUCUGGGCCAGUCAACAGGCUGCGUGGGUCCGUCUCGGCCCCUUUCCUUGGUGCACAAGCUCCCGGUGGGAAGCCUUGCCCGGGCGCCUUGCAUCGGUGGGAGCUGCGCCCCCCCACCCCAGCGCACACCUUGGCUGGGUUCUGAGAACUUAUCUCUUAAGUGCCAUCCUCACAUGGCUUGAGGUCCAGCCAAUGGAGGUUCAGUGAGAAGUGACCCAGUGACCUCUCCAUGACAGCCCCAGGACUUCGGGAAACGUAAAAUAAGAAGAUGUCAGACCCUGGCCCCAGGAAAGCAGGCUGAGCUGUCAAAAUAACAAAAUGCCUUGCUUCAUUGCAUUUGACUUUAUUUUACUGUGCAGACACUGCAUUUAAAAAAAAAAAAAUUGAAGGUUCCAGGCAA